rnacentral:siRNA from 1 species
CACGUCUGCCUGGGUGUC